UACGGUGGAAAGUCAUACGGGUAGCGAAAAAUAGCUAGGCUUACGGUUACCUAAUAGUAUGCGAUAUUGCAACUAUGAACUGGGGCCUAAAUUCGUCGUCUACACUCUUAUGUCCGUAGCCUUUUGCCAUUGACAGUCUCGUGCCAUCAACAAACAAGCACAAUGCGGUGACAGUUCAGCAAUUUUGUGCAAAGGAUUGAACGACUUCAUAAAGUCGUAUACGUAAUGGUGACGCUGGCCCGGCUCGUGUUGCCGUGCUGUUAUCUGCUCAAGAAAUGGUAACAUCAGCCUGUUUCAUGUCUGUCGCUCUCCGGGCAGACACCAUGAGGAAGCAUACAGUGCUGUUGGCCAACGGGGC